rnacentral:lncRNA from 1 species
UUUGAUUUACUACAUUUAGAUACAUCUUUUACAUUCUUCCAAGAUAUAAAUACAAUCACUCGAACCUCACCCUAUACAUCAUCUACUCUCAAAUAUAAAAGGGUGACGGCUAGUGCAAAAAGGAAGGUAGCUAAUGCUACUAAAACGCCGGGCCCUUACCGCGAUCCUCACGCUCACCGGGGACACCCGAACUGGAACCUGUGGUAAAAAUGGGGGUGAGAACUAACUUCCUUAGUUCCCAGUGGGUUCGGCCGCCGACUCCGCCGAUCUCCCCACUAGGUCCAAGCGGGCACAAGUAGAUAUACCAAUAGAUGGAUAGACAGAUAGAUAUAUAGAUAUGGAGCUGUAAAUGACGGAAAUGAAGCUAUUCUACUAUGCCCAAUCAUAAAUGUAUGAAUGCAUGUCCAAUGAAUUGGUAAGCAACUAACCUGUCAUCAUGUCCAAAGGUGAAGCUAUUCACUCG